UGGGGUAUCGCCAAACGGUAAGGCACCGGAUUCUGAUUCCGGCACCCCAGGUUCGAAUCCUGGUACCCCAG
rnacentral:tRNA from 1 species